GAUGAGUCCUUAAUGAAAUUUAAGGGUAGAUUACUUUUUAAACAGUAUAUCCCUUCUAAACAGUCCCGAUACGGAGUAAAAUUUUAUAAAUUGUGUGAAUCAAAAUCUGGAUAUACAUGGGCGUUUCGUAUUUAUCAGGGGAAGGAUAGCCAUCUUGACCCACCAGGAUGCCCUGAUUCUGUGGGUACAUGUACAUGUGGGUACAAGAUAGUACAAUGGGUGGACUAUCAGACACAUAAUUGAGAUCAGACCACUGACGUACAGGAACAGAGGGGGUUGAGGACCCUGCUCGAUGAGCUUACAUGCUAGAGGGAGUGGGGUAUAGUGACACAAAGGGUUAAAGUAGGGGAAUUAAAUAGUUUGUUACAGAAGGGUUUAUUGAGUGCUUGCUAGGUCAUUUUUGGCAGUUGCAGGAACGGAGUCAUGGGGUGGGGGAUGAGAAACCUGCUGACAGUUUAAUUGAUACGCUUUAAUGAAGAAGUGAGUUUUCAAAUAUUUUUUGAAGGAGUGGAUGCUGGGUGAAAGUCUGAUUGAGGAGGGAAGGGCGUUCCACAGAAUAGGUUCAGCCCUGGAAAAGUCUUGAAGACGAGCAUCAGAGGUGGGGAUCCGGGAAGAGGAUAGGCGUAGGUCUUGGGCUGAGCGCAGGGGUCUCGACGGGACAUACUUGUGAAUGAGGGAGGAUAGGUAUGUUGGAGCAGCAUUAUGUACCUAUACAUGGAUGUUACUGUUUUACUCAUGAGACAUUUCUGAAUACAAAUAUGUAUGUUUUAUUGCAGUAAAACCAAACAGUAUUGUGACAUUAUCAGUUAAAUUGACAUGCAGAAAUUGAAAAAUAUCAACAUCUCUUAAUUUUUCAAACUUUUUUAGAUUUUAUGCAUAUAAAAUGGAGUUCUAUAUAUGAAUAUUUGAUAUGGAAUGAAAGCCCUGUUUCCCCUGAACAAACCGAUAUAUAAUAAGUGUGGGUGCACUUAGUAUGAAAGAGGUAAAUUAUAGUUGAACAGACAUGGAUUCAAAUUCUGUGGUUUGUUUACAUUUUGUUUUGAUCACAACUUGUACAUUUGGCUCUGUCCUUGAGGGUUUAAAGUUCAAUUUAGAGAUUGAGAUACAAUUAUUUAAGGUAAAUUACAUCUGUUUGAAAGUGAAACCAGUUUUUUUUUUCAUGCAGGCUCUAUCAAUCAUAGCCAGGGGAGGUGUGGCUAGGGCUGCAUAAACAGAAACAAAGUGAUUUAACUUCUAAAUGACAGUGAAUUUAGCAUU